GGCGUGAUGACGAGGCACUACGGUGCUGAAGCAACAAAUGCCCUGCUUCCAGGAAAAGCCUCUAAGCAUCAGGUAACAUCAAAUCGUACCCCAAACCGACACAGGUGGUCAGGUAGAGAAUACCAAGGCGCUUGAGAGAACUCGGGUGAAGGAACUAGGCAAAAUGGUGCCGUAACUUCGGGAGAAGGCACGCUGAUAUGUAGGUGAAGUCCCUCGCGGAUGGAGCUGAAAUCAGUCGAAGAUACCAGCUGGCUGCAACUGUUUAUUAAAAACACAGCACUGUGCAAACACGAAAGUGGACGUAUACGGUGUGACGCCUGCCCGGUGCCGGAAGGUUAAUUGAUGGGGUUAGCCGCAAGGCGAAGCUCUUGAUCGAAGCCCCGGUAAACGGCGGCCGUAACUAUAACGGUCCUAAGGUAGCGAAAUUCCUUGUCGGGUAAGUUCCGACCUGCACGAAUGGCGUAAUGAUGGCCAGGCUGUCUCCACCCGAGACUCAGUGAAAUUGAACUCGCUGUGAAGAUGCAGUGUACCCGCGGCAAGACGGAAAGACCCCGUGAACCUUUACUAUAGCUUGACACUGAACAUUGAGCCUUGAUGUGUAGGAUAGGUGGGAGGCUUUGAAGUGUGGACGCCAGUCUGCAUGGAGCCGACCUUGAAAUACCACCCUUUAAUGUUUGAUGUUCUAACGUUGACCCGUAAUCCGGGUUGCGGACAGUGUCUGGUGGGUAGUUUGACUGGGGCGGUCUCCUCCUAAAGAGUAACGGAGGAGCACGAAGGUUGGCUAAUCCUGGUCGGACAUCAGGAGGUUAGUGCAAUGGCAUAAGCCAGCUUGACUGCGAGCGUGACGGCGCGAGCAGGUGCGAAAGCAGGUCAUAGUGAUCCGGUGGUUCUGAAUGGAAGGGCCAUCGCUCAACGGAUAAAAGGUACUCCGGGGAUAACAGGCUGAUACCGCCCAAGAGUUCAUAUCGACGGCGGUGUUUGGCACCUCGAUGUCGGCUCAUCACAUCCUGGGGCUGAAGUAGGUCCCAAGGGUAUGGCUGUUCGCCAUUUAAAGUGGUACGCGAGCUGGGUUUAGAACGUCGUGAGACAGUUCGGUCCCUAUCUGCCGUGGGCGCUGGAGAACUGAGGGGGGCUGCUCCUAGUACGAGAGGACCGGAGUGGACGCAUCACUGGUGUUCGGGUUGUCAUGCCAAUGGCACUGCCCGGUAGCUAAAUGCGGAAGAGAUAAGUGCUGAAAGCAUCUAAGCACGAAACUUGCC
rnacentral:rRNA from 1 species